rnacentral:tRNA from 1 species
CCCUUUUGUAGUUUAUUAAAACACUAUAUUUUCAUUAUAGAAAUGAAGAAUUUUUCUAAAAGU